rnacentral:misc_RNA from 1 species
GAUGAAGAACGUAGCGAAAUGCGAUAAGUAAUGUGAAUUGCAGAAUCCAGUGAAUCAUCGAAUCUUUGAACGCACUUGGCGCCCGCCAGCAUUCUGGCGGGCAUGCCUGUUCGAGCGUCAUUUCAACCCUCGACCUCCCUUUGGGGAAGUCGGCGUUGGGGACCGGCAGCACACCGCCGGCCCUGAAAUGGAGUGGCGGCCCGUCCGCGGCGACCUCUGCGUAGUAAACCAACUCGCACCGGAACCCCGACGUGGCCACGCCGUAAAACACCCAACUUCUGAACGUUGACCUCGAAUCAGGUAGGACUACCCGCUGAACUUAAGCAUAUCAAUAAGCGGAGGA